UCUUUUCUAGAGACCAUCUGGUUCCAGUGUGUCUGAGAUGGCAUGGAUGAGUGUUUGGGGACUUGUUCAGAGCUCAGCCCGCAGACACAUCUCAGCUAAGGAUUAGAAACUGCUCUGUUCCCACACCGGCCGUGGCCCGAAGCACAGAAACCAUGCCUGCUUUUCCAACACAUCGCUGUGAUAUUUGGUUAGAAGGGGAUUAAGGAUACGAAAAAGAAAAAAAGUUGUGACAGUUGUCGUGAAAACUGAAUUGGAGGAAUCAAGUCACAGAUUGAGCUUUUACCUCAACCACUGUUGUCAUUGCUGCCCUUGGAACUGCAAACGGUCCAGGGCAUCAGAAUAAGGAAGCAAAAAUACAAAAAAGAACGUGGCAAGGCACACUCACUCAAAACUGGCAUUUGGGAUGCGACUGAGCACAAGCAAGCACUGAAGAAACACUGAUAUCACGGGGCCUCGAUUCUCCUUGUAGAUUCUUAAGAUUCAAAAACCCAUGCAAAUAAACAGUCUACCUUCGGGUUUGCGUAACUUUUG
rnacentral:lncRNA from 1 species